rnacentral:sRNA from 1 species
AGCAAUAGGGCUUUCAUGGGUGGUGGCUCAUUCCCUGUAAAGGGGGUAAUGCCUUAUGACAGUAUUCGAGAGUUUGAUUUUGAUGAUCUCUUUUGCAACGUUAAUCGUAGCUAUACUGUCGCAACAAAAAAAUAACCACCUCAUGGCUGCCUAGCGAGCAUUUUGGGUUGGUUAUUUUUUGUGAUAACUCAAAAUUUGAGCUACCCCAAUGAAGGGCUAUUGCUUAGACCGAAGGUGUACCAGCUACCUUUG